rnacentral:lncRNA from 1 species
UGUGACUGUACUAUUUAGUGUCAUUGUUUUAUAGAUACCAUAGUGAGAAAGGAUUCAUUUCGCAACACCUACGGCUUCCACUAGAUGUCAACGAUCUUUAUAAAGUUGUUUGAAGCGUCUAUGAUAAACAGAGAGCAAAUUAGAAUCCAAGGAAGUUGACAUGUCAUCACUUCAUUUUUUUGCGCCUGCGCAUAAAUCUGAGAAACGUGAGUUUUGUCUUCAUUGUUUAUCUCGACAUAGGAUAGGUUGUGUGAAAAUAUUACUGAUGUUUAACGUUAAAAAUGGACCAAAAGAUUAAUGCUAAACAACAUUUGACAUGUUUGAACGAACAUAAAUAGAUUAUUUACUAGGUUUUUUUAGCUUUUCGGCGUGAUUUUACAGUCCCCCACCACGUUUUGUGGGAGCAUAAUGAACGCUAAGUACUUGGUGUUAUUUGGACAUAAAUUAUGAACUUUGUCAAAAGAAACCACAUUUGUUCCGGACCUGGGAUGCCUUCCGGACCUGGGAUGCCUGUCUUCUGAUGGAGAUAAUCAAAGUAUAACUACCAGUUGAAUGAAAAUAUAUUAUUAUGAGCUGAAGAUCUUGUAUGUCCUUGGGAACCAUUUGAUGACUAUGUACUCUACAGGUGAGUAAAAAGCAGGAUAAAUGCCAUGAUCAUGGUUAACACUCAGAACGCUGCCUUUGGAAAUAUCUGUCGACUUUUCACUAAUUCCAAGUGAUGGACUGCGGACUGUGUGUGCAUGCACAUACACUGUGUGUGGUAGAGGUAGACACAUGGAAGAAAUGACAGCCAGCCACCUACCCUGUGUUUUGAAGUCGGCUUAUUCUAGUUGCUAUGAUAUUACCUUUCAAAGGACAGGAAAUGGAAAGGUUGGAAUGUGAGAACGAGAAAAAAAGAACAGCUCAAGUGCCACCUCCAUCCGACGCCAACGUCAGUCAGCCCUCCCAUUCCGAGCAGCAUGGAGCUGGACCCUGACCUCUAACCCUUACCCGCUAACCCCUGACAUGCUGCCUAGACUGGCCACAUUUCAUUACCAGAUUUUCUUAAAAUGGGAUUAACCCUUAGCCUACAAUGGUCGCUUCCCCAUGGAAAUUGAAUUAACCUAAUUAAAAAAAUCCCCAUCAAAAUCCACCUGUUUAAGCUAAAGAUAUUUUUGCAUGGACUGCGUCUCAAUCCACCGCAUCAACCGAUAUCGCCCUUCUGCAUCUGCGGGGGAAGGUGGCAGAGCUAGAGCGGUGUUUGUCAGACCAUGAGACAUCCCGAAAAUCGGUCUUCUCACCUAAUCGUAUGUUGAUCACUCUAUUGAAAGAUGAGACUCUUACGAGCAUGAUGGUCUUCUUCGUUUUUCUGUAGGACGCUGAAGGUCAACGGUACCUUAAAAAAAUAAUGGAUGUAUAUAUAGAGAUAGUUCAGUGCCUAAAAUAAAGGGAUAAAUACAAGAUACUAAUCUUUCUUAAAUCUCUCAGAUAUAAAACAGAUACUACAUGUAGUGAAUCUGUUUUUCAAUGCGUUUCUAUUAGCUAAUUGCAGUAAUGCCAAAUUCAAUGUUACUAUUAUAUUUUUUUACUCCUUUUUAGUGACAUCCAGUUGGUAGUUACAGUCUUGUUCCAUCGCUGCACCUCCCAUACGGACUCGGGAGAGGCGAACGUCAAGAGAGCUGCGUCCUCCGAAACACGAUCCUGCCAAGCCACACUGCCUCUUGACACAUAGCUCGCUUAACCCGGAAGCCAGCCGCACCAAUGUGUCGGAGGAGGCAUGGCUUUCUACCGAAGUCAGCGUGCAUGCGCCGGGUCCACCACAAGGAGUCGCUAGAGCAUGAUGGGACAAGGAAAUCCCCUAACCUGGACGACGCUAGGCCAAUUGUGCGCCGCCUCAUGGGUCUUCCGGUCGCGGCUGGCUGCAUUUCAGCCUGGGAUCGAACAUGGAUCUGUAGUGACGCCUCAAGCACUGCGAUGCAGUGCCUUAGACCGCUGCGCUACUCGGGAGCCUAAAUUCAAUGUUUUAUCCAAUCAUUUUUGUACAUCUUUUUUUGAUACCUUAAGGGGUCUUAUAAUUCAAAAUCAAAUAGCUAAAUAAUCCUUGGUAUGAUCAUUUUAAAACAAUUCCACCCCUCCCCCGGCUUAGACAGGGCGUGUCAUUUGCCAAGGUGGUAGAAUCCUAAAGCAGACAAUCAAAGCAUAUAGAUUUGGUAGGUUUGUAGUAGUCAAAAUACACUACAUUUCAUUUCCUCAUACAAUUAAUGAGAAGUAGAGUAAACUAUCAUCUGAUGGCGUUUGAGAUGUGCAUCGCCAACGCUUCUUCCCAUCUCUCUCGCUCUCUCGCUGUCUCUCUCCCUCCUUCUCUCUCUCUCUUUGAACUUGCACAACUUCUUCAACAUGUUGAAUGACAGUAACAAUGUCACAGGAAUCUUCUCGGAUUGUUUUGGGUGGUCGGCAGGCAAAUUCUGCUGUUGCUAUGGCGGCAGGCUUGCAUGACCAUGGCCCCAUUCCAUCCCUGUUUUUGUCAGAGGGGUUUGAGGUUCAAGCAAGAAAACAAAUCCAUUACUGAAACUGAAGUCGAUCUCUGAUCGAUUGUCUGCGUGUCCAAGUCAACCCCACCUUUCAUGUAAAAACAAGUAAUUACCAUCAUGCUUUUUAGGGAAAGAGGGUAAUUUUGUAGCCUGCAUGUAUUAAACCGUGAGUUUGACCAAUUCCAGUCCACAUGGGGUCCGGGAAAGCUCAGUCCUGGUGAUUUUUUAAAAAGGACAUUCUACUCCAAAAUGAAUGAAAAUAAAAAUUAUACUGGCACCAUAUAAAAUACAAUUCCCACCUCCAGAAAUGAGCCCAAUAACAUAUUGGUAAAAAUUAUGUUACAAAUAUUUUAACAUAUUGGAAUAUGCAUAUAGGCUAGUGGGGUUGAAAAUUAUUGACAUCCUUGAUAAAGAUGAGCAAUAAUGACUGCAUAAAAUAGAUCAUACAAAUACUGAGCUAUAUUGUAAGCUAAAAAAAAAAGGGAAAUUAUAUUAUUUUAUACUAAUACAGAGUAUCAGACUAAGAGAUUUUAUUAAACAACUAAUAUAAUUUUUUUCUGAAGAAGCUAGUGGUCAAAAUUAUUCACAUCCCUAAAGAUUCUUAUAAAUACACCAGUCAAAAGUUUAGUAUUUGGUCCCAUAUUCCUAACAAACUAUAACUACAUCAAACUUGUGACUCUACACACUUGUUGGAUGCAUUUGCAGUGCGUUUUGGUUGUGUUUCAGGUUAGUUUGUGCCCAAUAGAAAGGAAUGGUAAAUAAUGUAUGGUGACAUUUUGGAGUCAGAAUAUGUUUCUAAACACUUUUACAUUAAUGUGGAUGAUACCAUGAUUACAGAUAAUCCUGAUUGAAUUGUGAAUAAUGAUGAAUCCCUAUGGAUCUCACAACUUGAAUGUGCCUCGAGAGGAAUAUUUAUCUCUCAUAGACCACACAACAAGAAGCUGUCUAGGUAAAUAGGUAAAAUAUUCUACUAUGGGCUUGUCUGAUUUUGUUUUAAUAACAACAGUACAUGGUAAAAAUAUCACAUCCUGAGUUAUAAAGUGUAGGUUUGAAUUACAUCAGCAGCUACAAUACCGUACACGCCACUGUUUGAGUUGAACGCUGCGAUGGUGAGCAUUAUAUAUUGUUUAAUUCCCUUCAUCUGAACAUGGAGUAUGAGCAACAGUCAUGCAUGUCAGUUCAGUGUACACAGCAUAACAGAGGAAAUCUAAAAAAGGACCUCUCUAGAAUCCAUACGACGGAAAUCCGUCGCAGUGACACAGAACUUUAACCCCUGGGUUUGGUUGGGGGUGAAGGGGUUGUCUAUACCCAUUAGUCUUUAAGUAGGUGCUGGUUACUAUGGAGAUGUUGACAGGGGAACGAAAACAGCAGAAGGUCUCGAAUUAUGUUACUGAGCGGUCCGGCACCGUUAAUAGAACCCAUAACCUAGGAGACGUGCUGGCCACAUGUGCAAGGUUAGAUGUGCUCGGUUGAAGCGGGGUCAUUUGACCUAUAAAGUUUGUUAGCUCAUAAAGAGGGUACAGGCAAGGAGUGUUUUAGAGCAUUGGUGCAAUGUCAGUGCCAGCAAGGCGCCAGUUUGAAUUCUACAGAACGUCAACUUUGCUGAUGUUUAGACUGUAGUUAUCAAAGUCCAUUGGGUGUUAUGAGCACACAGCACCAUUUGACCUGACCAGGAAAAACUCAGCUGUAGUUAUUGCCUAUAGAAUAGACCAUACACUCAGGAAAACAUCAGGGCCCUACGAAUAUACAGUAGGAGUCUGCGUCUCUGUCUCACUUUCUGUCUCUGGCUGUGUUAAGUGAUAGAUUUGCCUUAGAGGACUUUAUCUGUACAGGCCUACACUAUCUGGGGGUCAAAAAGAACGUGCUGGACUGACUCUGACUUAAGUCCACCAAAGAGCCAGUGACGCACCUCCACAGAUAAACCCAAUAAAGUUAAGAUUACCUUAAACCUAUAAGGACCAUUGAGGUGAGCCAAUUGACUUAGCCUAACCCCAACGUCAUUUAUGAUGUAAUUUCAAGCGGUUUUGCCCAGUUUUUCUGUCUGGGACAGUAUCAGUCCUCAAUGAAAAACCACAGUCCAGUCUGGGUUCAAGUUCUAUUUGAAGUCAUUUCAAAUACUUUAUCUGGGCUUGAUCCUGAGCUAGAGGGAUUUUCCAUGCACUGGCAGAACAGAGACGCUACCUCUGGUAAGGGAUGGGAGUGUGUGUCUAUUUGUCAAUAACAGCUGGUGAGAGAUGUCUAAUAUUAAAAGAAGUCUCGAGGUAUUGCUCGCCUGAGGUAGAGUACCUUAUGAUAAGCUGUAGACCACACUAUCUACCAAGAGAGUUCUCAUCUAUAUUAUUCGUAACCGUCUAUUCACCACCACAGCACGAAACAGGCACUAAGACCGCUCUCAACCAACUUUAUAAGGCCAUAAGCAAAGAAGAAAAUGUUCACCCAGAAGCAGCGCUCCUAGCAGCCGGGGACUUUAAUGAGGACAAAUUCAAUCCAUAUUCCCAAAUUUUUACCAGCAUGUCACAUGUGCAACCAGACGAAAAGAAAUCCUAGAAACCUUUACUCCACACACAAAGAUACGUACAAAGCUCUCCCCCACCCUCCUUUUGCCAAAUCUGAUCAUAAUUCUAUUCUCCUGAUUCCUGCUUACAAGCAAAAACUAAAGCAGGAAGUAUGAGUGACUCACUGAAUACGGAAGUGGUCAAAUGACGCGGAUUAAACACUACAGGACUGUCUUGCUAGCACAUGUUCCGGGAUUCAUCCAAUGGCAUUGAGGAGUACACCCCCUCAGUCAGCGGCUUCAUAUAAGUGCCUCGACAAACCCAUAAAAUUGUCAGAGACUCGUCACCCAAGUUAUAGACCGUUUUCUUUGCUACCGCACGGCAAGCGCUACCAGAGCGCCAAGUCUAGGACCAAAAGGUUCAUCAACUUCUACCCCCAAGACAUAAGACUGUUGAACAAUUAAUAAAAUCGCCACCAGACAAUUUACCUUGACCCCCCCCCCACCUCCCUUUUGUACACUGCUGCUACUCACUGUUAAUUAUCUAUGCAUUGUCACUUCACCCCCACCUACAUGUACAAAUGACCUCAACUAACCUGUACCCCCGAACACUGACUCGGUACCGGUGCCCCCUGUAUAGAGCUUUGUUAUUGUUGUUCUUAUUGUGUUACUUUUUAUUUUAGUCUACUUGGUAAAUAUUUUCUUAACUCUUCUUGAACUGAACUGUUGGUUAAAGGCUUGUAAGUAAGCAUUUCACGGUAAAGUCUACACUUGUUGUAUUUGGCGCAUGUGACACAAAGUUUGAUUUGAUUUGAUUGAGCUUGCCUAUUGCAAGGUACAGGUAACUGCCAAAAUAAAUAAAGUGUCUUAAUAGAGCAUUGGGCCAGCACCAGCCAGACCAGAUUCAAGGCAAGGGCUGAUUUCAAGGUUUUACUGCUAACCUACAAAGCAUUACAUGGGCUUGCUCCUACCUAUCUUUCCGAUUUGGUCCUGCCGUACAUACCUACACGUACGCUACGGUCACAAGACGCAGGCCUCCUAAUUGUCCCUAGAAUUUCUAAGCAAACGGCUGGAGGUAGGGCUUUCUCCUAUAGAGCUCCAUUUUUAUGGAAUGGUCUGCCUACCAAUGUGAGAGACGCAGACUCAGUCUCAACCUUUAAGUCUUUACUGAAGACUUAUCUCUUCAGUAGGUCCUAUGAUUAAGUAUAGUCUGGCCCAGGAGUGUGAAGGUGAACGGAAAGGCUGGAGCAACGAACCGCCCUUGCUGUCUCUGCCUUGCCGGUUCCCCUCUUUCCACUGGGAUUCUCUGCCUCUAACCCUUUUACAGAGGCUGAGUCACUGGCCUACUGGUGUUCUUCCAUGCCGUCCAUGGGAGGGGUGCGUCACUUGAGUGGGUUGAGUCACUGACGUGGUCUUCCUGUCUGUGGGCUAUACUCGGCCUUGUCUUAGGACGGUAAGUUGGUGGUUGGAGACAUCCCUCUAGUGGUGUGGGGGCUGUGCUUUGGCAAAGUGGGUGGGGUUAUAUCCUGCCUGUUUGGCCCUGUCCGGGGGUAUCAUCGGAUGGGGCCACAGUGUCUUCUGAUCCCUCCUGUCUCAGCCUCCAUUGAAACUGGUGCAGCAGCACGGCCAGGUGGACUGGGGACAAAAAGGAGUCAUCAUGCCAGGUAGUCCUGAGGCAUGGUCCUAGGGCUCAGGUCCUCCGAGAGAGAG